ensembl:lncRNA
AUGUAUAGGGAGUACCAGUACCAGAUCAAUGUGGAGCUAUAUACAGGGAGUACCAGAUCAAUGUGGAGCUAUAUACAGGGAGUACCAGAUCAAUGUGGAGCUAUAUACAGGGAGUACCAGAUCAAUGUGGAGCUAUGUACAGGGAGUACCAGAUCAAUGUGGAGCUAUAUACAGGGAGUACCAGUACCAGAUCAAUGUGGAGCUAUAUACAGGGAGUACCAGUACCAGAUCAAUGUGGAGCUAUAUACAGGGAGUACCAGAUCAAUGUGGAGCUAUAUACAGGGAGUACCAGAUCAAUGUGGAGCUAUAUACAGGGAGUACCAGAUCAAUGUGGAGCUAUAUACAGGGAGUACCAGAUCAAUGUGGAGCUAUAUACAGGGAGUACCAGAUCAAUGUGGAGCUAUGUACAGGGAGUACCAGUACCAGAUCAAUGUGGAGCUAUAUACAGGGAGUACCAGUACCAGAUCAAUGUGGAGCUAUAUACAGGGAGUACCAGAUCAAUGUGGAGCUAUAUACAGGGAGUACCAGAUCAAUGUGGAGCUAUAUACAGGGAGUACCAGUACCAGAUCAAUGUUGAGCUAUAUACAAGGAGUACCAGAUCAAUGUGGAGCUAUAUACAGGGAGUACCAGUACCAGAUCAAUGUGGAGCUAUAUACAGGGAGUACCAGAUCAAUGUGGAGCUAUAUACAGGGAGUACCAGAUCAAUGGGGAGCUAUAUACAGGGAGUACCAGAUCAAUGUGGAGCUAUAUACAGGGAGUACCAGAUCAAUGUGGAGCUAUGUACAGGGAGUACCAGAUCAAUGUGGAGCUAUGUACAGGGAGUACCAGUACCAGAUCAAUGUGGAGCUAUAUACAAGGAGUACCAGAUCAAUGUGGAGCUAUAUACAGGGAGUACCAGAUCAAUGGGGAGCUAUAUACAGGGAGUACCAGAUCAAUGUGGAGCUAUGUACAGGGAGUACCAGUACCAGAUCAAUGUGGAGCUAUAUACAAGGAGUACCAGAUCAAUGUGGAGCUAUAUACAGGGAGUACCAGUACCAGAUCAAUGUGGAGCUAUAUACAAGGAGUACCAGAUCAAUGUGGAGCUAUAUACAGGGAGUACCAGAUCAAUGUGGAGCUAUAUACAGGGAGUACCAGAUCAAUGGGGAGCUAUAUACAGGGAGUACCAGAUCAAUGUGGAGCUAUAUACAGGGAGUACCAGAUCAAUGUGGAGCUAUGUACAGGGAGUACCAGAUCAAUGUGGAGCUAUGUACAGGGAGUACCAGUACCAGAUCAAUGUGGAGCGAUAUACAGGGAGUACCAGAUCAAUGUGGAGCUAUAUACAGGGAGUACCAGAUCAAUGUGGAGCUAUAUACAGGGAGUACCAGAUCAAUGUGGAGCUAUAUACAGGGAGUACCAGAUCAAUGUGGAGCUAUGUACAGGGAGUACCAGUACCAGAUCAAUGUGGAGCUAUAUACAGGGAGAACCAGAUCAAUGUGGAGCUAUAUACAGGGAGUACCAGUAUCAGAUCAAUAUGGAGCUAUAUAUAGGGAGUACCAGAUCAAUGUGGAGCUAUAUACAGGGAAUACCAGAUCAAUGUGGAGCUAUAUACAGGGAGUACCAGAUCAAUGUGGAGCUAUGUACAGGGAGUACCAGUACCAGAUCAAUGUGGAGCUAUAUACAGUGCCUUGCGAAAGUAUUCGGCCCCCUUGA